GAUGAAGAACGUAGCGAAAUGCGAUAAGUUAUGUGAAUUGCAGAAUUCAGUGAAUCAUCGAAUCUUUGAACGCACAUUGCGCCCGCCAGUAUUCUGGCGGGCAUGCCUGUUCGAGCGUCAUUUCAACCAUCAAGCCCCAGGCUUGUGUUGGGGACCUGCGGCUGCCGCAGGCCCUGAAAACCAGUGGCGGGCUCGCUGUCACACCGGGCGUAGUAGAUUUUAUCUCGCUCAGGGCGUGCUGCGGGUUCCGGCCGUUAAAAAGCCUUUUUUACCCAAGGUUGACCUCGGAUCAGGUAGGAAUACCCGCUGAACUUAAGCAUAUCAAUAAGCGGAGGA
rnacentral:misc_RNA from 1 species